rnacentral:rRNA from 1 species
AUUGAACGCUGGCGGCAGGCCUAACACAUGCAAGUCGAGCGGAUGAAGCUUGCUUUCUCCUGGUUUCAGCGUCGGACGGGUGUGUAUUGCCUAUGAAUCUGCCUCCUAUUUGUUUAUAACGUCCUUAAACGGGCUCUAAUACCGCAUACGUCCUGAUGUUGAUACUUGGGGAUCUUCGGUCCUCUCGCUUUCUUAUGAUCCUAGGUCGGAUUAGCUAGUUGGUUGGGUAAAGGCUUACCAAGGCGACGAUCCGUAACUGGUCCGAGAGGAUGAUCAGUCACACUGGAAGUGAGACACGGUACAGACUAAUACGGGAGGCAGCAGAGGGGAAUAGUGGAAAAUGGGCGAAAGGCUGAUACAGAAAUGCGGAGUGUGUGAAGAAGGUCGUCGGAUUGUAAAGAACUUUAAGUAGGGAGGAAGGGAAGUAAGAUAAUAACUAGCUGUAAUGACGUUAACAAAAGAAUAAGCACCGGCUAACUACGUG